rnacentral:rRNA from 1 species
GGCGAAUGCUAGCGGUGCGCCUAACACAUGCAAGUCGAGCGGGAAAUUUUUCUAGCUUGCUAGGAAAAUGGAUAGCGGCGAACGGGUGAGUAACGUGUUGGUAUCUGCCCCCAAGUCAGGGAUAGCCAUCUGAAAAGAUGAUUAAUACCGGAUAGUCUCUUCGGAGUAAAGAUUUAUCGCUUGGGGAGGAACCUACAUUCUAUCAGCUUGUUGGUAAGGUAAUGGCUUACCAAGGCUAUGACGGAUAACUGGUCUGAGAGGAUGAUCAGUCACAAUGGAACUGAGACACGGUCCAUACUCCUACGGGAGGCAGCAGUGAGGAAUCUUCCACAAUGGGCGAAAGCCUGAUGGAGCGACACCGCGUGAAGGAUGAAGGUCUAACGAUUGUAAACUUCUUUUCUGGAGGAGCAUAAUGAGAGUACUUCAGGAAUAAGGGACGGCUAAUCACGUGCCAGCAGCCGCGGUAAUACGUGAGUCCCAAGCAUUGCCCGGAAUUACUGGGUGUAAAGGGUUCGUAGGCGGUUUGGAAAGUUGGAUAUUAAAGACCGGAGCUCAACUCCGUGUUUGUGUUCAAAACUAUCAAACUAGAAUCAGGGAGAGGUAAGCGGAAUUCUGAGUGUAGGGGUGCAAUCCGUAGAUACUCAGAGGAACACCAAAAGCGAAGGCAGCUUACUGGAACUGUAUUGACGCUCAUGAACGAAAGCGUGGGGAGCGAAAAGGAUUAGAUACCCUUGUAGUCCACGCCCUAAACGAUGAUAACUAAGUGUUGCACAUUGGUGCAGUGCUGUAGCUAACGCGUUAAGUUAUCCACCUGAGGAGUACGGUCGCAAGAUUAAAACUCAAAGGAAUAGACGGGGACCCACACAAGCAGUGGAUCACGUGGUUUAAUUCGACAAUAAACGGGGAACCUUACCCAGACUUGACAUCUACCGAAUCUUCUAGAGAUAGAAGAGUGCCUUUAUUGGAGCGGUAAGACAGGUGCUGCAUGGUUGUCGUCAGCUCGUGCCUUGAGGUGUUCGGUUAAGUCCGUUAACGAGCGCAACCCAUGUCCUUAGUUACUAUGUCUAAGGAGACUGCCUUGGUUAACAAGGAGGAAGGUGUGGAUGACGUCAAAUCAGCAUGGCUUUUACGUCUGGGGCUACACACAUGAUACAAUGGUCUAUACAAAGAGCAGCGAAACGGUAACGUCUAGCGAAUCUCAUAAAGUAGAUCUAAGUCCGGAUUGAGGUCUGCAACUCGACCUCAUGAAGUUGGAAUUGCUAGUAAUCGUGAAUCAGAUAUGUCACGGUGAAUGUGUUCCUGGGUCU